rnacentral:rRNA from 1 species
GACGAACGCUGGCGGCGUGCUUACACAUGCAAGUCGAACGGAAAGGCCCUGCUUUUGUGGGGUGCUCGAGUGGCGAACGGGUGAGUAACACGUGAGUAACCUGCCCUUGACUUUGGGAUAACUUCAGGAAACUGGGGCUAAUACCGGAUAGGAGCUCCUGCUGCAUGGUGGGGGUUGGAAAGUUUCGGCGGUUGGGGAUGGACUCACGGCUUAUCAGCUUGUUGGUGGGGUAGUGGCUUACCAAGGCUUUGACGGGUAGCCGGCCUGAGAGGGUGACCGGCCACAUUGGGACUGAGAUACGGCCCAGACUCCUACGGGAGGCAGCAGUGGGGAAUAUUGCACAAUGGGCGGAAGCCUGAUGCAGCAACGCCGCGUGCGGGAUAACGGCCUUCGGGUUGUAAACCGCUUUCGCCUGUGACGAAGCGUGAGUGACGGUAAUGGGUAAAGAAGCACCGGCUAACUACGUG